rnacentral:rRNA from 1 species
GAUGAACGCUGGCGGCGUGCCUAAUACAUGCAAGUCGAGCGAACAGACGAGGAGCUUGCUCCUCUGACGUUAGCGGCGGACGGGUGAGUAACACGUGGAUAACCUACCUAUAAGACUGGGAUAACUUCGGGAAACCGGAGCUAAUACCGGAUAAUAUAUUGAACCGCAUGGUCCAAUAGUGAAAGACGGUUUUGCUGUCACUGAUAGAUGGAUCCGCGCCGCAUCAGCUAGUUGGUAAGGUAACGGCUUACCAAGGCAACGAGGCGUAGCCGACCUGAGAGGGUGAUCGGCCACACUGGAACUGGAACACGGUCCAGACUCCUACGGGAGGCGGCAGUGGGGAGUCUACCGCAAUGGGCGAAGGCCUGACGGAGCAACGCCGCGUGAGUGAUGAAGGUCUUCGGAUCGUAAAGCUCUGUUAUUAGGGAAGAACAAAUGUGUAAGUAACUAUGCACGUCUUGACGGUACCUAAUCAGAAAGCCACGGCUAACUACGUG